AUUAGGGAAGGAAAAUACACAGGCUGCGAAAAUAUUUUGUAGUGAUUUAACAUUGAACUUUUUCCGAAUAAUGGAAAUGAAAGUUUUAGCAUUUGACGGAAGACGAGAAAUUCUAGUCCGUCUGAGUCGUCAUUACCAGGGAGAAGAAAAACUGCAUGGUUUUGCUUUUGUAUCAUGGCCGUGUCCUGAGAGUGUGGCUCGCGUGUGUAAAGGUAAAAAAAGUAAAGCUAGUUGUUGGGUUGAUGAUAUAUAUGGAGCUUUUCUUGUUUGACUUUGCAGUUCAAUGAGGAUGGCCUUCUUCAUUUCCAAAUGAACCUUUGUAUUAUAUGCUGACUAAUGAGGUGCAUCGGUAUUGUUCGUUCAUCACAGGUGUCUGCUAAACAACCCACCCAUAUUAAAAUUCCAGUAUUUACAUUUCAGAGGGCAAAACUGUCCAAAUUCUAGUCUCCUGUCGACAUCAGCCGUAUGCCGAAGAUCUUGAGACACAUGGCGAAAUAGGAGAAUUUUCCUUGAAAUGCUUGAGAAGAGGUUAGGAAGAAACAGUGAUGAAAUAGCAGGAGAGAGAGAGGGGGAGAUGUGAGAGAGAAGAUACACAGUUGAGAAAAAGAGGCCAUUGAUUGAUGCAAUUUCUGUGGUCAUAUACAUUGAUGGGCAAUAAAUGACUAAACUACUGAGUUUACUUUU